UACGUAGGGUGCAAGCGUUGUCCGGAAUUAUUGGGCGUAAAGAGCUCGUAGGCGGUUUGUCGCGUCGAAUGUGAAAACCCGGGGCUCAACUCCGGGCCUGCAUUCGAUACGGGCAGACUAGAGUUCGGUAGGGGAGUCUGGAAUUCCUGGUGUAGCGGUGAAAUGCGCAGAUAUCAGGAGGAACACCGGUGGCGAAGGCGGGACUCUGGGCCGAUACUGACGCUGAGGAGCGAAAGCGUGGGGAGCAAACAUG
rnacentral:rRNA from 1 species